GACGAACGCUGGCGGCGUGCUUAACACAUGCAAGUCGAACGGAAAGGCCCUGCUUUUGUGGGGUGCUCGAGUGGCGAACGGGUGAGUAACACGUGAGUAACCUGCCCUUGACUUUGGGAUAACUUCAGGAAACUGGGGCUAAUACCGGAUAGGAGCUCCUGCUGCAUGGUGGGGGUUGGAAAGUUUCGGCGGUUGGGGAUGGACUCGCGGCUUAUCAGCUUGUUGGUGGGGUAGUGGCUUACCAAGGCUUUGACGGGUAGCCGGCCUGAGAGGGUGACCGGCCACAUUGGGCCUGCGAUACGGCCCAGACUCCUACGGGAGGCAGCAGUGGAGAAUAUUGCACAAUGGGCGGACGCCUGAUGCAGCAACGCCGCGUGCGGGAUGACGGCCUUCGGGUUGUAAACCGCUUUCGCCUGUGACGAAGCGUGAGUGACGGUAAUGGGUAAAGAAGCACCGGCUAACUACGUG
rnacentral:rRNA from 1 species